UUAACCUGGGGCUAUUUUUAGAUUGUGGUAUUAGUUUCCCGGACUGGUUUAGAAAGAGUGACGUGAUGAGUGAUGUCAGAGGAUCACAAAGAGCAGUUUGAAUCAUUUGUUAACAUUUGGCUCAGCUGUCAAGUGGCUAUGGGAUCAAAUAACAUCGUCAUGAUCCCAUCGGCAUCCAGAAAACCGAAAAAACGUUUCUACCCGGGCCCGCCUCCUGUGGUGCAUUGGCCAAUCUCAGACCUUGGUUACACGUUGUCUUACGGCUACUGUCCCCACAUUUUUUCCGACCUAUUUUUCUAAAGAAUAAAACAACAAAAGGGCAUUUCUAUUUAGUUAAUUAUGUUAGUUCACAAAGUUCUCCUAGAGAUGGUAGCUGAAAGAUGAAUUGCUGGCAGUGAUCCAUUUAUUAUUCAAUGACAUAAUUUGAUUCAAUGCUACAUGUUCUUGCCUUUAGACAAGUUCAAAUACUUGUGUAUUAUGUAACCUGCUUUUCACCGACAGUCUGCUCCAGCAGUUUAUUAGAAUGAAUUCAUUGGAAAUGUACCGUUAUACAUAAACUUUAUUCCAACCAGAAUCAUUCCUACGAAUAUGCAGUGUCAUAUCAUGGGGUGCUGUGGUGUUACUCUUCAUUUUACCGUCAGCAUUGUGUACAUAGCCCUUUAUAAGUGACGCUCUCCGGUACCUGUGACAAGGAGAGAUCCUCUUGUUCUCCUGACAAGAGGUCCAAACAUCCGAAACCUUUCGAAGCUGAUGCGAGAGCGCGUGUGGCUGCCCCUGGUCUGCAUUGCAGCCCCCAGCGUCUCUCUCUCUCUCUCUCUCUCUCUCUCUCUCUCCCUUUCACUCCCUCCUCUCCUCUAAAUGUGCUGAUGUGAUAACGAACUGUACUAUUGCUGCCUUUUUUUCUGCCCUUUUCUUUUUCUUUUUUAUAAGCCAGUCGUAAAGAAGAUGAUGAUACUUGCUCACUGCACCACUACGAAGGGGAGCGUAGCAUUAUUGCAGUUAGUCUACCAGGCUACGUACACAUGACCUGCAGUCAGAGAUGGACAUAUUCCAGCUUUGUAGACGUGUUGAGCAUGACAGCUGUAAGAAUGGUGUAUUGCUCAUGUCUCACGGCAGCUUGCUUACUGAGCAAUUUACUGCUGCCUUUAUAUUUGAAAUAUCUCUCUGUAAAUAAGGAGCGCUGUGGAGCUAUUGACCCCCCCCCCCCCCUAAAGGGUUUUGCAGGGUGCUACACAGUUCAAUCCUGAUUCUGUUGUUGGCCACACUCUGAGUGCCUCCUGUCCCUUUAAAUCUUUUCUAAGCAUUACACAACAGGUCCAGUGGCGCACAAGCAACAAACAACCCCAAUAAAAGAGAGCGAGUCGGAACCAGACACCUAAAGACGGACCCAGUGAUCAGAGACGACACACACACACACAGGUUCCACACUAAUAUGGCUUGACCUGUUCAAUCUGAAGCCUGAUAAGGACUUCAGGAAAAUCAAAGUAAAUGAAUGAUCCUUUAUUCUUAAUGUAAAAACAGCAGUGCGGGGGAAAGUGUGUUAGAUGUGUGCUCUGUUGAAAACACUUGGCAACUACCUGUCCGCGCCCCACCCUCUCAUGCGUCAUGCCUCUCAUUGCAGGAGAUUCACUGCCACUUCCUUGCUUUUUUCCCCCUUGUAGUGGCCGGAGAGCGACGCCGUCAUCCUCCGCGUUCCAACCGAGCAGCGCGGGGAGGACGACUCCUCGGUACCUGGGUCCUCAGAGCUGCAGUGUUUUUUUUUGUGCCACAUGGGGAGGGUUUUUUUUUUUGUUACGAAAGGUGCCCCCCUUGGAAGCUGGUUUCAGGUGGUGGCUUAGAGUGUUGUCAUCUAUCUAGCACCAUUUGAAAUCAGUGUUCUUGGGGUGGGAAGUGAUUGCCCCUGGCCAGCGACAGGAAGCGUCACAGGAGGUGUCCGCAGGCUCCGUGGGCUACGAACCGCCGCCAGACGCGUUCUCACAAGCUCUCCGUCCUUUCUCCAAAGUUGACCGAUUACUUUUGGUGUUCAGAGUCUGCUUUUGUUUCUAGCACCAUUUGAAAUCGGUUACAGUGAAGGACAGAUCUCAUCUCGCAAGUAAGCUGCUCUUUAUUUUUACGGACUGUAGAUCGAUUGCGGUAAAAUUACAAAUGUAACGAAAUGACUGACAUCUAGAUGCAUGUUUGCAAUGGAGAAAGUAUUCAGUUUGCUGUUUUUUUUAUCUACAUUGAAGUCACAUUCAAAUGUAAAUAUUGCACUUUUUUAUGUAUUGAUGCAAGCGUACCAUGAAAGUAGGUGAAUUUAAGUAUCUUGUACUCACUCCUUUUUCUAGCCAAAUCCUCGAGGUGGCACUGUGGUUUAAGGCAUUGAUUACGAGGACGGGCGGGUAAACCCCGGAGAGCCAUCCACACUGCAGCAGUGCUCAGCACUGUGCCGCCCUCUUGUGUAGCGUUUGAUGUAUACAGUGAAACACUAAAAGGCUGUCAGGUUGGUUUUGAAAGGUGUUUUGCAAAUAUGGAUUCUGGGAGUCUAUCACCUCCGGCAACUUGUGGCAAAGCUGAGCUUCUGUGAAUACGUUUUGCAUUGUGUGUUCAGGUUAUUCACACCCUGACUCUUCCUGUAUUCGUCAAAACGUCUUCCCAUUAGAUAUGGAGUCAAUUUACACCAUUACAUUGUCCGUUAGUCUCACCUUAUAGUUCAGCUGUUAUUGAUCAAAGAGGCAAGAAAAUAGAUCUUACUCAAUAUGCUUUUUUUUUUGCCAGGAAAGUGUACAACGCUCAGCGAUCGCACACCUAAACAAUGCUUAACGUUUAUAAGCUUUAGGGCACAAGUGCCCCCCUUGGAAGCUGGUUUCAGAUGGUGGCUUAGAGUGUUGUCAUCCAUCUAGCACCAUUUGAAAUCAGUGUUCUCGGGGCGGGAAGUGAUUGUCCCUGACCAGCAACAAGACAGCUGCACAGCGUCUGAAGAGGCGUGUGCCUCCAGCUCUUUGUCCUCUCUACGUUUAAGUCCGUGUCCGAGUGCGUUUUCUGGAACAUCUCAACAUGUUAUUCUUUGUACAUUUUCUUUUAUGUGUAAAGAUGGCAAUAAACCAUUUUGGAUUCAUAUUGUCUCUCGUCAUUCAGUGCGUUUGAAGCCUCUUGCUCCGAGGUGAUGGAGCAUAGUUUCUAUAUUGCUCAUAGAGGCGGAAGCUUCUCGCUGUGAUGUUAUAUCGCGUCUAAGGUGAAUAAGAGGGGGAGAUUGUAGUUGAUUACCAUUUUAUUUCAAUAAUUACAAAAAAAUAGUGCCGGCAUUAAAUCCUGCCACGGAAUACAAAAAUGUCGAUGUUUUUAAAACAUUUCAAAUAAAUAGACAAUCACCAAAGCAAGCCGUGCUGUACAUCAAUGCUUCUCAACUACUUCUUGUGUGUACGUUUUUUUUUUGGGGGGGGGGGGGGGG